AGUGAACGCUGGCGGUAGGCCUAACACAUGCAAGUCGAACGGCAGCACAGUAAGAGCUUGCUCUUACGGGUGGCGAGUGGCGGACGGGUGAGGAAUACAUCGGAAUCUACUUUUUCGUGGGGGAUAACGUAGGGAAACGUACGCUAAUACCGCAUACGACCUACGGGUGAAAGCAGGGGAUCUUCGGACCUUGCGCGAUUGAAUGAGCCGAUGUCGGAUUAGCUAGUUGGCGGGGUAAAGGCCCACCACGGCGACGAUCCGUAGCUGGUCUGAGAGGAUGAUCAGACACACUGGAACUGAGACACGGUCCAGACUCCUACGGGAGGAAGCAGUGGGGAAUAUUGGACAAUGGGCGAAAGCCUGAUCCAGCCAUACCGCGUGAGUGAAGAAGGCCUUCGGGUUGUAAAGCCCUGUUGUUGGGAAAGAAAAGCAGCAGGUUAAUACCCCGCUGUUCUGACGGUACCCAAAGAAUAAGCACCGGCUAACUUCGUG
rnacentral:rRNA from 1 species